rnacentral:rRNA from 1 species
GACGUAGGUGGCAAGCGUUAUCCAGAAUUAUUGGGUGUAAAGGGCGUGUAGGUGGAAAUGCAAGUCCGAAGUUGAAGACCAAGGCUUAACCUUGGAAAAGCUUUGGAAACUGCAAUUCUAGAGUACAGGAGAGGAAGGCGGAAUUAUCAGUGUAGCGGUGAAAUGCGUAGAGAUUGAUAGGAACGCCAAUGACGAAGGUAGCCUUCUGGACUGAUACUGACACUGAGGCGCGAAAGCUAGGGGAGCAAACAGG